ensembl:snoRNA small nucleolar RNA SNORD61
GCAAUGAUGACAAUCUGGUUUUGAACAGUAAUGAAACCACACUACCAAUUCCUCUAAGAAGUUCUGAGCUC